rnacentral:rRNA from 1 species
CGCGGCCUAUCAGCUUGUUGGUGGGGUAACGGCCUACCAAGGCGACGACGGGUAGCCGGCCUGAGAGGGCGACCGGCCACACUGGGACUGAGACACGGCCCAGACUCCUACGGGAGGCAGCAGUGGGGAAUAUUGCGCAAUGGGCGAAAGCCUGACGCAGCGACGCCGCGUGGGGGAUGAAGGCCUUCGGGUUGUAAACCCCUUUCAGCAGGGACGAAGCGAAAGUGACGGUACCUGCAGAAGAAGCGCCGGCUAACUACGUGCCAGCAGCCGCGGUAACACGUAGGGCGCAAGCGUUGUCCGGAAUUAUUGGGCGUAAAGAGCUCGUAGGCGGUCUGUUGCGUCCGCUGUGAAAACUCGGGGCUUAACCCCGGGUCUGCAUUCGAUACGGGCAGACUAGAGUGUGGUAGGGGAGAUCGGAAUUCCUGGUGUAGCGGUGAAAUGCGCAGAUAUCAGGAGGAACACCGGUGGCGAAGGCGGAUCUCUGGGCCAUUACUGACGCUGAGGAGCGAAAGCGUGGGGAGCGAACAGGAUUAGAUACCCUGGUAGUCCACGCCGUAAACGGUGGGAACUAGGUGUUGGCGACAUUCCACGUCGUCGGUGCCGCAGCUAACGCAUUAAGUUCCCCGCCUGGGGAGUACGG